CCAGAAUACAACAUAAGGCAGAGUAAGGAAUAAUUCACUCUCUGAAUGACUGUUUUCAAGCUGGGACAUGGGUCUCCUGCCUUCAGACUUGGUCUCAGAUAGAACUUAACCUUCAAUUCUUCUGGUUUUUGGACUGAGAAUAGGAUUGGGGCUUAAACCAUCAGCUUUCCUGGUUCUCGGGUCUUUGGAUCCUGAUUGGAAUGAUAUCAUUGGCUUUCCAGAGUCUUUAGCUUGCUGACUGCAUAUCUUGGAACUUCUCAGCUUUCAUAAUCAAUUACAGUUGAAUAUGAGGAGCUGGAUUGCAGUGUCAUGACCUGGGCUCAGUGUAACUUCCAUCUGCCAGGCUCAAGAGAUCCUCCCGCCUCAGCGUCUCGAGUAGCUGGGACUACAGGAACGUGCCACCAGGCCUGGCUAAUUUUUUAUUUUUUUUGUGAAGACGGGGUUUCACUAUGUGGCUCAGGCUGGUCUCAAACUCCAGGAAUCAAGGGACCCACCUGCCUAGGCCUCCCAAAGUGCUGGGAUUACAGGCAUGAGCUACCGCACCAGGGCUGUAUGUAAUUAUUUAAUAUUGUUUGUCUUAGCCAUAUAUCAGGUUGUUUAUAAACAACAGAAAUUUAUUUCACACAGUUCUGUAAGCUAGAAAAUCCACAAUUAAGGCGUCAUCAGAUUUGAUGUCCAGGGAGGGCCCACUUUCCCAUAAUGACACCACUGAAAUGUACAUAUGGUAGAGGUGCAGCAUCAGUCAUGCUGAUGAAGAAAACAUCCAUGGGAUUGAUGGAGGAUGAAAACGGGCUCAAUAAAAAUUCACAGAGAAAAGCUGCCUUACGUGUGAGAUUGCAAGAGGACAACUCGGCUCUAAAAUCGAUGCAUUAACAUGUCAUUGGAAUUGACCUUGCCAAAAGAUGCCUCCCUAAAUCCACAAGAAUCUCCUUGUUUGAACACAGUUUCUAAUCCAGCUGUAAUGAAGACAGACAACAGUCAAAUUAACAACUGAUCAGGAGGAGAAGUUCAUACUCCUUGAGCUGGAUCUAUCUGCACAUGCACCUGGCCCAGGAAGCUGAAAUGGGAGAUCUGAUGAGCAGUGGAGGACUGAACCAAAGCCCUUGGCUUUUGCUCCAUACCAGUCAGCCGUUCUGGACAUACACAUGGGCAGAAGAUGUAGCCGCCUUGUGUGAAAAUUUGAGAGCUCUCUACUCCAUCUUCCGCUAGUAUAACCCUCAUUGGCUGGAAUCAUAAUGGUAUCUGCAUCUGGAACUGGCCACUAGUAUAACACCUACAAAAUGCACAACGGCCUUCAGACCAUAUGAAAAGUCUACAGGGUGAGAAUCUGAAAAUCCAGCAAUGAGGAGAAAAAAGUUAUCUCCCAUUAAGAACACUUUCCAGAAGCUACACAAUUCCAGUUAUUGAUUCAUCCCAUUUACUAGAACCUGUUCAUCUGGCUAUGCCCAAAACCAAGGGAAACUGAAAUAGUGGUUACCAUAUUCUGUAACUCAGCCUAGCCUAGCUUCAGAAGUUUUAAUAAAGAAAAUAAAAUGUAUUGAAAUAUUUUUAUAAUAUCUAUUCAUUUCAAAAUACAUUUUUUGUUUCAGCUCAAUCUUCCAUUUUAAUAUUCUAUCACACUCCUUCAUAUAAGUUCAGAUGUAUUUUAACUUCUUUCUGAGGGACAUUGUUUCCUAUAAUCAAAGCAGUUCAACUAUCUGCUAAGUCAGUGCUUUCCUAUUAUAAGCUAUUUUGAUUACAAUCAACCUGUGCAGAACAAUAGGAUGCUUUAGCAAUGACUAAACACCAAUGAAUACUUCCUUAGCUUUACAUAAUGAGCAAAGGAAGUAUGGCCCCAUAGUCUCAUCUCAGUUUCCUUAAGUCACUAUCAAUUCAGGUGUAAAAUACAGAAAACACUUACAUUGAAAUUUUUGAUUCCUCCAAAUGGAAGAUAAAUUAUACAGCAUUGUUGAGUUGUAAUCUCCAAAACCAAAAUUUCUGUGUUUUCCACAUAAGCAACCCAAACUGAGAGUUGCAUAACAGCCCAAGAACUAAACAUUGACACCAGCCUCAAAAACAGACCAUUGAUUAUCACAACAAAAACUUCAAAAUGCACCGGGGCCUCGUGGGCACAGGAGGUCUUUCAGGGAGUGAGCAUCAUUGUGAUAGGAUGGAAAUGCUAAGAUGUUUCUCUAUUCUAUUAAUAUAUUCUGUAUUCUAGCAAUAUAGAAUAUAAUACGUAGAAUAUAGUAUAUAUAAUUAG
rnacentral:lncRNA from 1 species